CGUAGGGGGCAAGCGUUGUCCGGAAUCAUUGGGCGUAAAGAGCGUGUAGGCGGCCCGGUAAGUCCGCUGUGAAAGUCGAGGGCUCAACCCUCGAAUGCCGGCGGAUACUGUCGGGCUAGAGUCCGGAAGAGGCGAGUGGAAUUCCUGGUGUAGCGGUGAAAUGCGCAGAUAUCAGGAGGAACACCUACGGCGAAGGCAGCUCGCUGGGACGGUACUGACGCUGAGACGCGAAAGCGUGGGGAGCAAGCAGGAUUAGAUACCCUGGUAGUCCACGCCGUAAACGAUGGGCACUAGGUGUGGGAGGUGUCGACUCCUUCCGUGCCGAAGCUAACGCAUUAAGUGCCCCGCCUGGGGAGUACGGCCGCAAGGCUA
rnacentral:rRNA from 1 species